CGGCGCCGGCGGCUUCUCCAGCCUCGGGGAGGGGAGGCGGCGCGCACCGGCCAUUUUCAGCUUGGGUGGAGCUAAGUUUGGAAUCUGUAACCUGGAGGAG
rfam:Equus caballus chromosome 22, whole genome shotgun sequence.